rnacentral:lncRNA from 1 species
AAAGAUACUGGUCUAUAGCUUUCUUUUUUUAUUUUUAAAUUUAUUUAUUUAUUUAUUUUAAGAUGGAGUCUCGCCCUCUCACCCGGGCUGGAUUCCAAUGGCGCGAUCUCAGCCCAGGCUGGAGUGCAGUGGCACGAUUUUGGCUUACUGAAAGCUCCGCCUUCCGGGUUCAAGCGAUUCUCCUGCCUCAGCCUCCCGAGCAGCUGGAAUUACAGGUGCCUGCCACCAUGCCCGGCUAAUUUUUGUGUUUUAGUAGAGAUGAGGUUUCACCAUGUUGACCAGGCUGGUCUGAAACUCCUGACCUCAGGUGAUCUGCCCGCCUCAGCUUCCCAAAGUGCUGGGAUUACAGGCGUGAGCCACCGCGCCCAGCCAAGUGUUAACUUUUAAUGCAUUUUAUUUCAUCAAAGCAUUUUCACUCCAUUGCAUCAAUUGCUAUGACGUUAAAUAAAAUGUACCGAUAUAAAACUUGUCAUAGAAUUUUUUCCUGUUAAUCUGCACACAAAGACAUCCCCUCCAAAAGAACAGGAAAAAAAAAAAAAAAAGCCAGGAACUCUCCUCCCAGCUGUAACAGAUGCACGCUAGAACCACUGUACGCUCAGAAUCUGUUAUCUGCCAGGUUGGGGGUGGCUCAGGUGUGCACACAGGGGUCAGUGCCAGGAAGGGUGUCCUUGGGGUGUGAACCUGAGCUGGAGAAGGAAGGCAGGGGAGCCAGCCAAGUGUCUGCUUAGCUGUGGGUGAAGAAGUUACAGCCAGACCUUCCCCACUAGUGCCGAUGCUGCAGCGGCACGGCUGGGACAGGUGUCGAGGCCAGGCUCUCCGGAACGGAGCGGCACGGCUGGGACAGGUGUUGAGGCCAGGCUCUCCGGACCGGAGCGGCAUGGCUGGGACAGGUGUCGAGGCCAGGCUGUCCGGACCACAGCGGCACGGCUGGGACAGGUGUCGAGGCCAGGCUCUCCGGACCGGAGCGGCACGGCUGGGACUGGUGUCGAGGCCAGGCUCUCCGGAACGGAGCGGCACGGCUGGGACAGGUGUUGAGGCCAGGCUCUCCGGACCGGAGCGGCACGGCUGGGACAGGUGUUGAGGCCAGGCUCUCCGGACCGGAGCGGCACGGCUGGGAGAGCCGACCUUUACUGCUCCAGGGUCCCCAGACGCCCCUCCAUGAGCCGCGUCCACCUGGUCUUCUAAGUGCUUUUUGAACAUUUCUAAACCGCAGAGAAAAGGUGAAAGGAUCCCUUUAGCUGUCUGUAUUUGGGCAGCUCUUUCCAUGAUUUUAAAACCCACAGUGAGAAAAACAUUUUAUGCUGUGACUAGGAACACACAAAACUAACUGCACAGUGUAUGAAAUGCUCAUAUUUUCUGUCUAUUCCAUCUCACUACGAAAACGCAAGUCACAUCCACAAAUCACCAUUUCCAAAACUUCUCAGAGAUGAACGUCAUGUAGGAUAUGUGCUAAGAAUCAAUUCCAGGCCCACCCUGACCCACCACCUGGGACCCCUGGCGAAGGGGUCCCCAGAGUCCCUGGCUAAGUGGCUUCCCAUUAACCAGGUGAUGAGUGUGAUGAGAAACGUGGGCAAUGAAUCCCUCCACGCGAGGGCGGAGACACGGGUGAGAGCACCCUGCUGGGGGCACAGGAGCCCCUCUGUGCGCCGCACCCAGGAGCUCAGCCAGGAACAACUAGGACCACACAGCCUUUGCCACUGCACUAAUCCUAUGCAAGAAUACAUUUGCCUCUUCGAGCUGGAAUUUAGUAAAAACUGCUGCCACAUUCAGAUCAGCCUGAAGGUUUCUGAAGCUACACUGGGCCCCAUAAUUCUAGCCUUUGAUUUCAUGUGCUCACUACUCACGUCUAAGAUUUAAACUCCAUCGCUUAACUAUCUGAGAAGGUUAAAAAUAUCCAGAAGGCCAUUAAACUCUGGGAACUGCCUCGGAGGGCUCCCGGGCCCAGCGUGUGUGUCCCCUCCUUCCCGGGGCCUGGGUGAAGAGUGGGCAGUGUGGGGCAGGUGUGGCCCCUCCACAGGCCCCGGCUGAGGAAACCCAGCAGGGAUGGAGGACCUGGACCUGCUGGACUAAGAGAUGUGAGGAUCCCCUCGGGGGAGGAGGACGCAGAGCUGGCGAGGCCUGAGGCCUUCACAGGUGCCGGUUCUCACACAGUCUCAGCUUCCUUAAUUGACAAAGGCAACAUAAAGGUCUUCUGCGCUAUUUUUAUAUUACAUUUCAAUUAGCCUUUUUCUAAACUCAUAAUCAAAUUAAAAUACUGCAUGGUUUCUUUUUGAGGGAAUGUAUUACUGAUUUUGACACAGGUCAGGGCGUCAUCAUUCAGUUCAACCCUCUCAUCUGACGUGGCGGGGAUCAGAGACCAGCAGUUAAAGGCCCGCCCAGCAUCUCUUGGCCGCCCCGGACAUCCGCAUGGCUGUCUGCAGAGGGAGGCUGUCUGAUAGUUCACAGUGCCUCAACAGCACGGAGCUCCUCGUGGCCAGACUGUCGGCAGCUGCCUGGCAUGGUGCUCCUCGCUGUGGUUCCCCAAGCAGACCUGUCCCUACAAACUGGCCGGCGGGUGAGCGGAGACUGCGGGUGCCCGCAGGACACGCCAGGCCGACUGCAACCAUAGGCACCAGCCCACCUCCCGUCUGCUCAGCGCCGCCCGCCCGGGGAAGGAACUGCUGAGGCUCCUGCCGGAAAGCCGCGGCUGUGAAGGAGCCAGUGCUGUUUCUCCGACACCAGCAAGGACCCUGAGUGCCUCCCACACGGGAAGGCGGGGUACAUGUCUCGUCAGAGGCAGGCUCUGAUGCAGCCGGUUUAGGGGGCCGAGAUCUUGCCUCCCAAGCCUCAUCUGAGGAAGGGGGUCUUAAACACCCUCGGCCAAUGCCUGCCCUCGUUGGGCUCAUGCCUACCGGCUGGGCUACCUGAUGGCAGCACCCGUUUGUGUCUGAGUGACCUCACUGGCAGCAAGGGCCC